ensembl:lncRNA
CAUUCAUAUUCAGAAAAGAAGCCAAGGAAAAAUGUUAGACACCACUUUAGAUUUGACCAAGAUAACAUUUACAAAGUGGUGGCUUUUUUCUUGGUCUAAGUUUUAAUCUAUUGGUAUUAGCAGUAUCUGUUUUUCUCCUGCCUUGCUUUACACAGAUUCAUGAUUUCCUAAAAAUUGAUGUUUUACUCAAAUUGAGGUAGGUUCUUUUCUACUGUCUUACAUGACUUUGGGUGCAUAGACCAAGAUUAUUCAUACGCUGUAGAAGUCGAUGGUAUUAAAUCCGCUCGAGAAGUAAGAGAAGUCAGAGGCUAAGUUAUGAAAAACCUUUGUCAAAAGACUGUAGGGUGAAUGUGGUUUUUGCAUCCAAUGCUUUACCUGUGGUUCUAAUAUAGUUUUUGUGUGUCCGUCUUCUGCAGGAACAUUUUCAGUAGAGCCUCUUAAGACACAUGUUUUGGAAUGCAGUCAAAUGCGUGCUGCUGUAUGACCAGCCUAUUCGAUUAUGCCUCCAAAUCCUAUGGAAGUGUAACAACCAUAGAGCAGACAAACACCAACAGCAUCAACAACAGAGAAUCUCAGUCCAGGAGGAUAUGAAACCCUUUGUAAUAAAGAAAGCAACAGCCAUGAACAUUUGUGUACACGUGUCUUUAUGGUAGAAUGAUUUCUAUUCCUUUGAGUACAUACCCAGCAAUGGGAUUGCUGGGUCGAAUGGUUCUGUUUUUAGCUCUUUGAGGAAUAAUUACACUGCUUUCCACAAUGGUUGAACUAACUUACACUCCCACCAACAAUGUAUAAGUGUUCCCUUCUCUCUGCAACCUUGCCAGCAUCUAUUUUUUUCUUUUUUAAACUUUUUUUAUAGUAACCAUUUUGACUUGUGUGAGAUGGUAUCUCAUUAUGGUUUUGAUUCACAUUUCUCUCAUGAUCAGUGAUGCUGAGCAUUUUUUUCAUAUGCUUGUUGGCUGCAUGUACACCUUCUUUUGAAAAAUGUCUGUUCAUUUCAUUUGCAAAGUUUCAUUUCAUUUACUUUGCCCACUGCAGCACUAUUCACAAUAGCAAAGAUAUGGAAUCAACCUAAAUCUCCAUCAAUGACAGAUUGGACAAGAAAAAUGUGGUACAUAUACACCACGGAAUGCUAUACAAGCAUAAAAAAGAACAAGAUCGUGUCUUUUGUGGGAACAUGGAUGGAACUAGGGGCCAUUAUCCUUGGUACACUAACAUAGGAACAAAAAACCAAAUACUGCAUGUUCUUACUUAUAAGUGGGAGAAAAAUGAUGAGAACUCAUGAACACAAAGAAGGGAACAACAGACACAGGGUCUAUUCGAGGGUGGAAGACGGGAGGAGGGAGAAGAGCAGAAAAAAUAACUAUUGAGUACUAGGCUUCGUACCUGAGUGAUGAAAUGAUCUGUACAUCAGACUUCUGUGACACAAGUUUACCUAUUUAACAAACCUGUGUAUACCCUUGAACCUAAAAGUUUAAAAAAAGAUAAAGCAACAGCUAACUUCAUCCAUUCACUGAUGUGCUACAACUUUCUCCCAUAGGAAGAUGCUCUCCAUAACUGGUAUCUUAUAGUGAUUUAAAAGCACAGGUUGAAAAGUCCCUACUGGCCUCGCCACCCUUGGUACUCCUCUGACUUCAGUUCUUUCAUUUGCAAAGUGGAAUUGAGCACCUUCCUCGUGGAGGGUGACCAGCAGUCCCAGCUUGCCCAGGAUACUCAGUUAUAGCCAGUGAUAUGGUUUGGCUGUGUCUCCACCCAAAUAUCACCUUAAAUUGUAAUAAUCUCCAUGUGUCAAGGGUGGGCCAGGUGGAGAUGAUUGAAUCAUGGGGAUGGUUUUCCCCAUACUGUUCUUGUGGUAGUGAGUAAGUCUCAUGAGAUCUGAUGGCUUUAUAAAUCAGAUUUUCCCAGCACAAUCUCUCUUGCCUGCCACCACGUAAGAUGUGACUUUGCUCCUGUUUUGCCUUCCACCAUGAUUGUGAGACCUCUCCAGCCACGUGGAACUGUGAGUCCAUUAUACCUCUUUUUCUUUAUAAAUUACCCAGUCUUGGGUAUUUAUUAGUAGCAUGAGAACACACAAACACAGCCAAGUUCCAGGGAACCCAUCAGUGCUGAACAAACUGAUACAUUUUAUCACCCUCUAUGAGAAACAAAUGCGAAAAUGUGUGCAAUAUAUAUAACGGUGCCUGGCGCAUAAGAAAAGCCCAAUUUAUGUUAGCUGUUAUUAAAUGGAGGGGGUCAAACUUGGUCUUCUUUUCCCCAGCUCCCCAACAUAUGCAUUUCAUAAAAUAAGAAGGAAAUGCAACUUUCCACGACCAGAUGUCAGAUUGGGUCACAAUCUUCCUGAUGACCUUGAGGGACUUGGAGCAGUGUGUCAUCCAUCCAGGGUAGAGUGUGGAGUGUAAACAGGAUGGGAAUUGAACAGUCACAUAAACAAGGGCAUUUUGUUUUUCUCAUGUUCUCUGUGCUAUGCUGAUGUGGAUUUCAUCUCAGCCCAAUUCUUCCUAUGGAUACUUUCAGUCCUAAGCUUCUGGGG